rnacentral:ncRNA from 1 species
AAACAACUGCGCGCGCCUGUUUUCUACCCGACGGCGGGCCGAAAGCCAAGUGGUUGAAGGGAUUGAGCUCCAUAAUGUUAGUAGAUCGAGAGGGCUGAUGCCUUACGCACAGCAGAAAGCUACAUUUUAUCUUUCGUUAAAGGCAAGAAGGGUAAAACCUCUCUGGAGUCAGAGACCU